UGGCUUUGGUAGCACACGUAGUAAAAUUGUACUGCUACAGGAAAGAUUAGCCCGAUCACUAGCACAAAGAUGACAUGCAAAUCAGUGAAGUGUAGCAUAGUUUU